AAGCCCCUGUACUGUUGGUGAUUGAUAAGAUUCUUUGUUCCAACACGAUAAUAAAGGGGGCCUUCACUGAUAUCAAGCGUGAAUUCUAUCAUUGUCAUAGAAUCCCAAAGGUAUCAAAGGGUGCCCACCUAAAAAAAUCAGGUUCAAAAGGUUUGUCAACACGGCAUGCUUGCGGGGGCUUU
rnacentral:other from 1 species